rnacentral:piRNA from 1 species
GUGAUGGUUUUCAUGAAACUGCUGCUUGCUC